rnacentral:lncRNA from 1 species
CUGAGACUCCGCGGCCAUAUACACCUUACGACGUGUGUGUGUGUGGCGGGAGAUGGGAGGGGAGGAAUCCUGUAGAACCCAGAUCCCAUCAUUCCAGCAACUGCCAGAGCGUUCGAGAAUGUCAUGUCUGUACCUGUCUUCUCUCAUCUUUUGUGCCAACUGUUUUAUCAAACUUCUACCCCACUUUAGGUCUUCCAGUAGAUACCUGAAACCCUGAACUACAAUAUAUGUGAAAUACAGUGAAUGGCAGAAAUACUUUGAUAAAAGAUGUAAAUGCCUACCGACUGCAGAAGACAACAUCAACAAAGCACACUUCACAAAAAGUACAACACAAAUAUACUGCCCAGGUUCUAAAACAUGUAUAAGAGUUAACAAAAUCAGCUGAGGUUGAGCAGAAAUUGUAUAGGAAAAAAUAGGAAAAACACAGAGACCAAUCUCAGCUGCAAGAAGGUUCAGCUAGACACUGCAAGCAAAAGUAUAACUCCUGAAGGUCACUUUGAGAAGAUGAGGUAUCAACAGCCACUACUAUUAGGCAAGGUACAAGUAUCACAACACUAGUGCCAUCUGAGAAUCCAUGUCAACCCUUAGCUAAGGAAGUAGCUCCCAACCUGGAGAUCUCUGGGUCCUUGAGGACUCUUAAAGUAGUUAUGGAGCUCAUUGAACUAUUUUCAACAUUUCAAAAAGAUAUCACGUAGCAAUUGUACAUCCAUCCUUAAUAAAACUGCACAAGC